rnacentral:rRNA from 1 species
GACGAACGCUGGCGGCGUGCUUAACACAUGCAAGUCGAACGGAAAGGCCCUGCUUUUGUGGGGUGCUCGAGUGGCGAACGUGUGAGUAACACGUGAGUAACCUGCCCUUGACUUUGGGAUAACUUCAGGAAACUGGGGCUAAUACCGGAUAGGAGCUCCUGCUGCAUGGUGGGGGUUGGAAAGUUUCGGCGGUUUGGGCUGGACUCGCGGCUUAUCAGCUUGUUGGUGGGUUAGUGGAUUACCAAGGCUUUGACGGGUAGCCGGCCUGAGAGGGUGACCGGCAAAAUUGGGACUGAGAUACGGCCCAGACUCCUACGGGAGGCAGAAGUGGGGAAUAUUGCACAAUGGGCGGAAGCCUGAUGCAGCAACGCCGCGUGCGGGAUGACGGCCUUCGGGUUGUAAACCGCUUUCGCCUGUGACGAAGCGUGAGUGACGGUAAUGGGUAAAGAAGCACCGGCUAACUACGUG